UACGAAGGGGGCUAGCGUUGCUCGGAAUCACUGGGCGUAAAGCGCACGUAGGCGGAUUGCUAAGUCAGGGGUGAAAUCCUGGAGCUCAACUCCAGAACUGCCCUUGAUACUGGCGGUCUCGAGUCCGGGAGAGGUGAGUGGAACUGCGAGUGUAGAGGUGAAAUUCGUAGAUAUUCGGAAGAACACCAGUGGCGAAGGCGGCUCACUGGCCCGGUACUGACGCUGAGGUGCGAAAGCGUGGGGAGCAAACAGG
rnacentral:rRNA from 1 species